rnacentral:lncRNA from 1 species
UAAUACUUCCACAAACUGUAAAGACAUAAUUAAUAUAAAAUUCAUAAAACAUGUCAUAACUUAAUUUUAACCUUUUAUUUUUAUAUAUAUUUUGGAAAAAUAAAAGAAAAAAUCUAAAAAAACAUGUAUUUUCAAUAAUUUUAAUUAACUUUAAUCAUUUCGUUAUUUUCUUCAUUUUCUUGAAACCAUAACCACUUUCCCUGCCCAGAUCAGCAGCUCACGAUCCCGUUCCCAACCACAAUCCAGCCUCUUCCAUCUCAAUUCAUAAUUGCCCAUAAAAAUCCCAAACAUCUCUUCCACUAAGAAAACUCCAAUAACAGACCCCUCCACUCUCCCCGUGAACUGACCCAAGAACUACCAUCUCAGAUUCCACCUGUGACAGCCCUGCACCAUCCACCAACGAAUGUUGAAUCAACACAGCCCCUUCUUCCUCUCGGCCGGCAGCGGUGCCACCUCCUCCAUGGCACCAGAAGUGGUAGCCCCUGGCCAAAUACUCCUCAACUACCACCAUCAGUCAGCCCUAUCAUCAUCACCAGCAGCCCCUCUUUCUCCACAUAACCCAACUGUUAACCCUCCUCCUCACAGCUGAGACUGCCACAAUAAAAAACUCCAGCCCACACCACACCUACGGUGUCCCCCACUGCAACCAACCACCACGAAGGAAACCCGCCGUUCCAGUCAUCAUCGCUAACCUUUUUGCUCUCAAAUCCAGCACCAUCAAAAUACCAAAACACACAUCGAUAUUUUCAUCUCUCUGACCGAAACCACAACUGCCACCCACCGAAACCACAACUCAACAGUGACCACCACUUCUACCUCGCAACUGAGGGAAGGAGAAAACAAAAACAAAUCUAUUUGAUUAUUCAGUCUGUUGUUUUUGCUUGCAGGUGCGCUUUAACUAACGCAUGGUGAAGCCACGCGCACGCCAUUUCCAAUUCAGUAAACUGACUAGCGCGUGAUAGGCACGGGAACCACGUGGUCCACGUUAUUUUUCAGCAUUUUCUAGAGUUUUUCCACCCCGGAAAUCAAUUUUGAAC